AGAGCGAACGCUGGCGGCGUGCUUAACACAUGCAAGUCGAGUGCGCGCCUGUAGCAAUACAGGUGGCGCACGGCGCACGGGUGCGUAACACGUGGGUAAUCUGCCCUUCGAUGGGGAAUAACUCCGGGAACCGAAGCUAAUUCCGCAUAACAUUCCUUGGACCUCGGUCUGGGGAUUCAAAGCCGUAAGGCGUCGGAGGAGGAACCCGCGCACGAUUAGUUAGUUGGCAGGGUAACGGCCUACCAAGACUUUGAUCGUUAGCUGGU
rnacentral:rRNA from 1 species